GACGAACGCUGGCGGCGUGCUUAACACAUGCAAGUCGAACGGUAAGGCCCUGCUGUUGUGGGGUGCUCGAGUGACGAACGGGUGAGUAACACGUGAGUUACCUGCCCUUUACUUUUGGAUAACUUCAGGUAACUGGGGCUAAUACUGGAUAGGAGCUCCUGCUGCAUGGUGGGGGUUGGAAAGUUUCGGCGGUUGGGGAUGGACUCGCGGCUUAUCAGCUUGUUGGUGGGGUAGUGGCUUACCAAGGCUUUGACGGGUAGCCGGCCUGAGAGGGUGACCGGCAAAAUUGGGACUGAGAUAGGGCCCAGCCUCCUACGGGAGGAAGCGGGGGGAAAUAUGGAACAAUGGGCGGAAGCCUGAUGAGGCAACGCCGCGGGCGGGAUGACGGCCUUGGGGUUGUAAACCGCUUUAGCCUGUGACGAAGCGUGAGUGACGGUAAUGGCAAAAGAAGCACCGGCUAACUACGUG
rnacentral:rRNA from 1 species